CUUCAUGGCGGCUGUGCGCGGGAGGCCUUAGGGUCUGCCGGUUCCUUGGUUCCCGGUUCGUCAACCUGCGUACAGCUGCCACCUCA
rfam:Pseudomonas fuscovaginae strain IRRI 6609 Pf_IRRI_6609_contig_14.14, whole genome shotgun sequence.